UUCAAUACUGAAUUUUUAUCUUUAGGAUGUUUUAUACAUACCUAAGUUCUUUAUCAAUCUAAUUUUUCCCCCCAGAUUAACCAAUGACCUUAAUUGAACUAUCAAUUUUAACACCAAUGAUUUCACUAUACAAGGGAACUUUACCCUAAAGAUGAUUUGUGCAGCUAAACUUCACCAAGGCUUAUAUUAUCUUAACUUCCCCA
rnacentral:lncRNA from 1 species